rnacentral:rRNA from 1 species
CUGGCGGCAGGCCUAAUACAUGCAAGUCGAGCGCGCCCUUCGGGGUGAGCGGCGGACGGGUGAGUAACGCGUGGGAAUAUGCCCUUCUCUAAGGAAUAGCCUCUGGAAACGGAGAGUAAUACCUUAUACGCCCUUUGGGGGAAAGAUUUAUCGGAGAAGGAUUAGCCCGCGUUAGAUUAGGUAGUUGGUGGGGUAAUGGCCUACCAAGCCUACGAUCUAUAGCUGGUUUGAGAGGAUGAUCAGCCACACUGGGACUGAGACACGGCCCAGACUCCUACGGGAGGCAGCAGUAGGGAAUCUUAGACAAUGGGGGCAACCCUGAUCUAGCCAUGCCGCGUGUGUGAUGAAGGCCCUAGGGUCGUAAAGCACUUUCGCCAGAGAUGAUAAUGACAGUAUCUGGUAAAGAAACCCCGGCUAACUCCGUGCCAGCAGCCGCGGUAAUACGGAGGGGGUUAGCGUUGUUCGGAAUUACUGGGCGUAAAGCGCACGUAGGCGGAUUAGUAAGUUAGAGGUGAAAUCCCAGGGCUCAACCCUGGAACUGCCUUUAAUACUGCUAGUCUUGAGUUCGAGAGAGGUAAGUGGAAUUCCGAGUGUAGAGGUGAAAUUCGUAGAUAUUCGGAGGAACACCAGUGGCGAAGGCGGCUUACUGGCUCGAUACUGACGCUGAGGUGCGAAAGUGUGGGGAGCAAACAGGAUUAGAUACCCUGGUAGUCCACACCGUAAACGAUGAAUGCCAGACGUCAGCAAGUAUACUUGUUGGUGUCACACCUAACGGAUUAAGCAUCCG